AGAAUCAACGUUGGCGGCGUGCCUAACACAUGCAAGUCGCACGAGAAAGGGGCUUCGGCCCUGAGUAAAGUGGCGCACGGGUGAGUAACACGUGAAUAAUCUACCUCUGAGUGGGGAAUAACUGAGAGAAAUCUUAGCUAAUACCGCAUAAUACUUACGAGUCAAAGCAGCAAUGCGCUUGGAGAGGAGUUCGCGGCCGAUUAGUUAGUUGGCGGGGUAAUGGCCCACCAAGACGAUGAUCGGUA
rnacentral:rRNA from 1 species